rnacentral:rRNA from 1 species
AUUGAACGCUGGCGGCAGGCCUAACACAUGCAAGUCGAACGAGUGGCGGACGGGUGAGUAAUGUCUGGGAAACUGCCUGAUUGAUGGGGAUAACUACUGGAAACGGUUGCUAAUACCGCAUACUAUCGGAUGAUCCCCUAUGGGAUUAGCUGGUUGGUGGGGUAACGGGUGACCAGGGCGACGAUCCCUAGCUGGUCUGAGAGGAUGACCAGGCAGACUGGCACUGAGAAACGGUCCAGACUCCUAAGGGAGGUAGCAGUGGGGAAUAUUGCACAAAGGGCGCAAGGCUGAUGAAGCCAUGCCGCGGGUAUGAAGAAGGCGUUGGGGUUGUAAAGGACUUUAAGCGGGGAGGCGUUACCCGCAGAAGAAGCACCGGCUAACUCCGUGCCAGCAGCCGCGGUAAUUC